rnacentral:rRNA from 1 species
GCGGCCACUGCUAUCAAGUUCCGACUAAGCCAUGCGAGUCAAGGUAUCGUAAGAUGCCGGCAAACUGCUCAGUAACACGUGGAUAAUCUAACCUUGAGUAAGGGAUAACUUCGGGAAACUGAAGGUAAUACCUUAUAAUUGCUUAAAACUGGAAUGUUUUUGCAAUAAAAGUUACGACGCUCAAGGAUGAGUCUGCGACCUAUCAGGUAGUAGGUGGUGUAAUGGACCACCUAGCCUCAGACGGGUACGGGCCUUGAAAGAGGGAGCCCGGAGAUGGACUCUGAGACACUAGUCCAGGCCCUACGGGGCGCAGCAGGCGCGAAAACUGUGCAAUGCGCGCAAGCGCGACACGGGAAGCCUGAGUGCCUUAACUAUGUUAAGGCUUUUCUUGAUCCUAAAAAGCUCAAGGAAUAAGAGCUGGGUAAGACGGGUGCCAGCCGCCGCGGUAACACCCGCGGCUCGAGUGGUAGUCACUUUUAUUGAGCCUAAAGCGUUUGUAGCCGGAUUUGUAAAUCUCUAGGAAAAUACUUCUGCUUAACUGAAGAAAUUUUGGAGAGACUGCAAAUCUAGGGACCGGGUGAGGUUGAAUGUACUUCUGGGGUAGGGGUAAAAUCCUGUAAUCCUGGAAGGACGACCGGUGGCGAAGGCGUUCAACUAGAACGGAUCCGACGGUGAGGAACGAAGGCUAGGGGAGCAAACCGGAUUAGAUACCCGGGUAGUCCUAGCUGUAAACACUGCCCACUUGGUGUUGCAUCUCCGGUAAGGGGGUGCAGUGCCGUAGCGAAGGUGUUAAGUGGGCCGCUUGGGGAGUAUGGUCGCAAGGCUGAAACUUAA